GUGCUUGCUUCAGCAUCACAUAUACUAAAACUUGAAUACAGAGAGUAGAUUAGCAUGGGCCCUCCGUAAGAAAGACAUGCAAAUUUUGAAAUGUUCCACAUUUUU
ensembl:snRNA U6 U6 spliceosomal RNA